rnacentral:rRNA from 1 species
UCUACCUUUAACUGAGGGAUAGCCCAGAGAAAUUUGGAUUAAUACCUCAUAGUAUUAUAAUUAGGCAUCUUUUUAUAAUUAAAACUUCGGUGGUUAAAGAUGAGUAUGCGUACUAUUAGCUAGUUGGUAAGGAAAAGCUUACCAAGGCAACGAUAGUUAGGGGGCCUGAAAGGGUGAUCCCCCACACUGGUACUGAGACACGGACCAACUCCUACGGGAGGCAGCAGUGAGGAAUAUUGCACAAUGGAGGAAACUCUGAUGCAGCCAUGCCGCGUGCAGGAAGAAUGCCCUAUGGGUUGUAAACUGCUUUUAUACAAGAAGAAACCUCGGUACGUGUACCGACUUGACGGUAUUGUAUGAAUA